UGAAAAGGGCAUUAGACAUGCCAUUUUCAGGCUUAACCUGCUGUAAAGUGGACAAUAUGGAAAUGCAAUGAGGAAACAGCAUCCCCUGUCUGUUGCAUUCACAUUUACAUCACACUCUAAAGUGGACAAAAUGAAAAUGAAAAUGUAACUGAGUUCUCUCAUCAAGGCUGAUCUUCAGUUGGAUCGUCAUUUCCCUGUGUGUUCCUCUCAGUGAAGUCCGCUCACUUUGUUCCCACCAGUUUGGUGCCAAAGCCUGUGCUAUCAACAAUGGUGUAUUUUUGUUGAUGCCUGCAAGAUUUACCAUGAAUAAAUGUCAGCGAUGCACUUUCAGCUGCACCCACCAGCCAAUGGGAGAAUGGUUUCAGUGGUACAUAUCAAGUUACGUUCACAUUUACGAAGGUACAAGGACUCCACACCUGUUGAGCCAGUUUAUCAUAGCUGUACAUGUGUGGCUGCAUCAGUGUUCUUCUACCACUCUGUUGCUCUCCUGUUCCAAUGAGCACAUUAGUCUCUGCUUUAAAUCCCAGUGAUGAAGUACUCAGCUGUACAGAGGGAUGUAAGGCCUGGAUCACUGCACUCAGAGCCAGGGACACAGCUGGUCUGAGUACAGCCAGGGCCAACCUGUCCCAUGGCAUCAGGAAAGCCGAACAUCGGUGCUCAAAAAAUAUUGCCUGCCAUUUUGGAGUCAGCAGAGACACUCUGAGCCUGUGGCGGGGUAUACGGGCCGUUACAUACUAUAAACCCUCACCACAUACCUGUGGCAACGACAUCUCUCUUGAAAAAUCUGAACAACUUCUUUGCACACUUUGAUUUACAAAACAACACACCUGCACAAAAGGUGCCUGUCCCCAACCCGCUUGAAGAGGUCACUCUCUAAAAUCAAUGCCUGCAAGGCUGCUUGUCCAGGCAACAUACCUGGUUGUGUAUCCAUCAUGAAGGGCUUUGCAAGGCUAGUCAUGCAGCAAAUAAGAUCCUUCCUGCCCCCCUUCCUGGUAUUGUCCUUACCAGCUGCAUCAUUGUGUGGUAUGGAAACUGCACUGGCACAUGGUGGUAUGCUGGUUAAGAGUGCCUUGAAUUUUGAAUAAAUCAUCAACAGUGUAAUCAGCAAAGCACCCCCACACCUCCUCCACCAUGCUUCACGGUGGGAACCACACAUGUUGAAAUAAUCCGCUCACCUUUUCUGCGUCUCACAAAGACAUGGCGGGUGGAACCAAAAAUCUCAAACUUGGACUCAUCAGACCAAAGUACAGAUUUCCACUGGUCUGAUGUCCAUUCCUCAUGUUUCUUGGACCAAACAAGUCUCUUUUUCUUGUUGUUAUUCCUUAGUAGUGGUUUCUUUGCAGCUAUUCGACCAUGAAGGCCUGAUUCACACAGUCUCCUCUGAACAGUUGAUGUUGAGAUGUGCCUGCUACUUAAAGUCUGUCAAGCAUUUAUGUGGGGCUGUAAUCUGAGGUGCUGUUAAUUUACAGUUUCUGAGGCUGGUAACUGAUGAAUGUAUCCUCUGCAACAGAGAUAACUCUUGGUCUUCCUUUCCUGGGGUGGUUCACAUGGGAGCCAGUUUCAUCAUAGCGUUUAAUGGUUUUUGUGGCUGCACUUGAGGAUACAUUCAAAGUUUUUGAAAUCUUCUGGAUGGACUGACCUUCAUGUCUUAGAGUAAUAAUUGAUUGUCGUUUCUCUUUACUUAGUUGAGUGGUUCUUGCCAUAAUAUGGAUUAUAACAGUAGUCAGAUAGGGCUUUUAACUGUGUACCAACCCUACUUCUGCACAACGCAACUGGUGGUCUCAAACACAUUAAGAAGGCAAAAAUUUUACAAAUUAACUCCUGACAACGCAUACCUGUUAUUGAAAAGGUGACUGCCUCGUGAAGGUGAUUGAGAGAAUGCCAAAAGUGAGCAAAGCUGUUAUCUAAGCAAAAGGUGGCUACUUCGAAGAAUCUAAAAUAUAAAGCAUAUUCUGGUUUGUUUAACCCUUUUUUGUUGACUACGUAAUUCCAUGUGUGU